rnacentral:misc_RNA from 1 species
AAAGUCGUAACAAGGUUUCCGUAGGUGAACCUGCGGAAGGAUCAUUAGUGAUUGGCUUCGGCCUCAUAUCCUUUCAAACCUGUGCACCUCUUGGCUCCGGCCAAUCCAAACAUGUGUCAUGAAUGUACAUAUACAAAACCAAAAACAAAACUUUCAACAACGGAUCUCUUGGUUCUG